AUGAGGUUUUGGCUCCAUUUUGUUCUCAUUAUAGUGGCUUUGGAAGGUGUCCGCUCGGAGGUCCAGCUGGUGGAGUCCGGAGGGGAUGUGAAAAAGCCCGGAGACUCUCUCCGCCUCGCCUGCAAAGCCUCCGGUUUCACCUUCAGCAGCUACGAGAUGAACUGGGUCCGCCAGGCUCCCGGGAAGGGGCUGGAGUGGGUGUCACUUAUUAGCAGCAGCGGGGGUACUAUCUACUACUCCGACGCUGUGAAGGGCCGAUUCACCAUCUCCAGAGACAACUCCAACAAUCUGCUGUAUCUGCAAAUGACCGGCCUGAAGCCCGAGGACACCGCCCAGUAUCACUGUGCGAGAGACACACUAUUUCAAAAGGUCUCUUACCUCUCAUAUGGCACCUUGGGGUACGAAGGGGAAUGGUCCGUGGUAGCGGUUGCUGUCCCACCCGGCGUCGCCAUCCGAGUCACGACACCAAAUUGUGGAAGAAAACAGAGUCUUCACGCUCAGCUUCUGACGUAG